rnacentral:rRNA from 1 species
AGUGAACGCUGGCGGUAGGCCUAACACAUGCAAGUCGAACGGCAGCACAGUAAGAGCUUGCUCUUACGGGUGGCGAGUGGCGGACGGGUGAGGAAUACAUCGGAAUCUACUUUUUCGUGGGGGAUAACGUAGGGAAACUUACGCUAAUACCGCAUACGACCUACGGGUGAAAGCAUGGGAUCUUCGGACCUUGCGCGAUUGAAUGAGCCGAUGUCGGAUUAGCUAGUUGGCGGGGUAAAGGCCCACCAAGGCGACGAUCCGUAGCUGGUCUGAGAGGAUGAUCAGCCACACUGGAACUGAGACACGGUCCAGACUCCUACGGGAGGCAGCAGUGGGGAAUAUUGGACAAUGGGCGCAAGCCUGAUCCAGCCAUACCGCGUGGGUGAAGAAGGCCUUCGGGUUGUAAAGCCCUUUUGUUGGGAAAGAAAAGCAGCAGGUUAAGACCCCGCUGUUCUGACGGUACCCAAAGAAUAAGCACCGGCUAACUUCGUG